CCUACGGGUGACAGCAGUGAGGAAUAUUGGUCAAUGGCCGGAAGGCUGAACCAGCCAAGCCGCGUGAAGGACGACGGUGCCAAGCAUUGUACACUUCUUUUGUCAAGGGACAAAAUCAGGCUCGAGAGCCUGAUCGAGGGUACUUUAAGAAAAAGCAUCGGCUAACUCCGUGCCAGCAGCCGCGGUAAUACGGAGGAUGCGAGCGUUAUCCGGAUUUACUGGGUGUAAAGGGGGCGCAGACGGCGAUGCAAGCCAGGAGUGAAAGCCCGGGGCCCAACCCCGGGCCUGCUGUUGGAACUGGGUGGCUAGAGUGCAGGAGGGGCAGGCGGAAUUCCUGGUGUAGCGGUGAAAUGCGUAGAUAUCAGGAGGAACACCGGUGGCGAAGGCGGCCUGCUGGACUGCAACUGACGUUGAGGCCCGAAAGCGUGGGGAGCAAACAGGAUUAGAUACCCUUGUAGUC
rnacentral:rRNA from 1 species